CGUCCCCUCCUCUCUCUCUCUCUCUCUCUCGAGCGGCAUAUACUUACAAGCGAACGAAGAAGAGAUAAUGUCACCCGUGUCCUCUGACCGUCUCCCUGAGCAUCCCCCACCCCCCGCCACCCUCUUUUGAGUGAACGACACCCUCCACAAACAUCUCUUGCAUCCUGCGUCACCACCCGCAUCGCGAUCUGGAGGAGAACAGUUCUGCCUGGCUCUCCGUCCUCUUCCAAAAUCCUAGCUCGCAUCCUCCGUCUUCAGUUUUCCAUGUUCGAUUCAAGCGAAAAAUGGAUCAAGAUUUCCAUUAGUUUUUUUAAAACAAAAAAGAAAAGGAAAAAACAAAAAGAAGAAGAUGGAAAUAGAACCACAUUCUUCUGUUUAACCCUUACGAUCAAAACUGCCGUUUGAAUUCCAAAAAGGGCACGAUGCAUGAAGGUCUUCUGUCAAGCAAACUAAGGCCCACAUCCUGCAUCACAAAAUUAAAUAAAACAUUAAUUGUGAAAAAAGAUUUUUUUUUUUUGGGGAAAAGAGAACAAUGUUAGGAUCAUGCGUCAUCUAGCUCCUCCUCCUCUUUCUUGGUCUUCAUAGCGGCAGGCGCAGCGGCGGGAGCGCCACCUCCGCCGCCCGCAGCGACGGCGACAGCGGCAACGCCUACUCCGCGCGGGGCCGAGGUGAACUUCUUCCUUCUGGCCGCGAUCAGCUCUGUGAUGUCCAUCCCCUUGACCUGGGUCAGCAGAAGAUCUAUUCUCUCCUCCCUGGCUCCGCACCCACUAUGAAUCGAGAACCAAAGAAAGAGGGUCCGAUUGAAACAUUGAUAGGAAGAAGGAUCGAAGAGCCUGUUGGGGUAUAUCUGUAUCGGCCGAAGAGCGGAGGGUUUUGGAUCGUGCUAUCUAUCGGACACAUACUCGAGUACGUGCCUCUGGGUUAUAUGGAUCCGAGAAGCAGCAUUAAAUAUUUUUUUUAUUCACUCAUUUUCUUCUUCUACGAGACAUCACAAUAGAGUAAAAAAAUAAAAAUAUAAAAAAAAAUCAUAGUGAAGAGAUGGCCAUAUAAAAAUUAUAAAAAUAUUAAUACCUCCGUUCCUCACGUCUCAUCCUCUUACAGGCUAAAGACCAGACAACAAAGGUAAAAAAAAAUAGGGAAGAGAGCAAAAAUAAUGACCAUAGAGAGAGGAGAGAGAAUAUACUCUCACUUACCUCUGUGAAGACCGAAAUCUCAUUUCGGCCAUGUCGAAGUCCGCAUACUCCAUGAUCGAAAGCCUUCUCAUUGUCGAUCCAUUUUUUAUGGACCCAAAAUAUUUACUAACAACCAGUCAUGAUGACUGUGAGAGGUAUUUUUUUAUGGCCUGCUAUAUCCCCUAUGAAUUUAUAACAGUAGUCAGCCCCUGUCAACCUAUGCCAUAAAUAUGGGCGGCUCGCUAUGAAAGAUAUUACUAGGUAUAAUUUCCAAAGACAUUAAUGAGAAACAUGAUUCUUGACAGUUCCA
rnacentral:lncRNA from 1 species